rnacentral:rRNA from 1 species
GAUGAACGCUGGCGGUAUGCUUAACACAUGCAAGUCGAACGGUCACUUCGGUGAUAGUGGCGGACGGGUGAGCAACGCGUGAGAAUCUGUCUUCAGGUCGGGGACAACAGUUAGAAAUGACUGCUAAUACCGGAUGUGCCUUUGGGUGAAAGAUUUAUUGCCUGAAAAAGAGCUCGCGUCAGAUUAGCUAGUAGGUGGUGUAAGAGACUACCUAGGCUCCGAUCUGUAGCUGGUCUGAGAGGACGAUCAGCCACACUGGAACUGAGACACGGUCCAGACUCCUACGGGAGGCAGCAGUGGGGAAUUUUCCGCAAUGGGCGAAAGCCUGACGGAGCAAUACCGCGUGAGGGACGAAGGCUUUUGGGUCGUAAACCUCUUUUCUCAAGGAAGAUGAUGACGGUACUUGAGGAAUAAGCAUCGGCUAACUCUGUG